AUGCUCACUUCGGCACCACAUAUACUAAAAUCGGAACGAUACAGAGAUUAGCAUGGCCCCUGCACAAGGAUGACAUGCUAAUUCGUGAAGUGUUCCAUAUUUUU